UCGAAGCACCGGUUCCCGCAUGGUCAAUGAAGUUAAGCAACGUCGAUCUUGGUCAGUACCCAGAUGGGUGACCGCUUGGGAAUACCAGGUUCUGUAAG